GGUCCAUAGAGUCGGCCAGAGGAUCCAUAAAGGGAACUACUCGUUUCGGUAUGCUUCUACAACUGCUCCACGAAUAAACUCUAUUUGCGUAUAACAAUCUUCAGACGAAAUUCUUCUAUCCUGACGAUAGAAGAGGCUUUCCUCCAUUUAUUUGCUAUAACGAUGAGAAAAGAAUACAUCCAAAUUUUUGAGUUCACAUUGAAACAUUGUGAUUUUUGUAGUUAUAGUUAGGCCUGAUGCUCGAGCCGCUUGUAUAUGUGUUUUUGUAAAUAUUGAUCUUUCUUGUGGAGUUAUCAUAUCAUAUGCCUAUUCUGCUGUGUAACUACAUAUAGGGCGUUUGGUUUGGUGGAUGAGACAAAUAAGAUUGAUAUGAUCGAAGGAUGAUUUUAUCCAUUAGGGGCCUAAUCAGCCUAAUCAUAUAAAUUAAACAUUUGAUUAAAUUCGAUUAUUUUAUCAAUCAUGCUCUACCACUCAAACCAAGCUUCUUGCAAUCGGCUUAAAUUCAAGUUUACAUGUAGUCUACAAUGUGUGUGGGUGUUGUUUCAAUAAUGAAACUUAGUUUGGAAAGUGAUUAGGAUUUCUGCCUACAAUCAUGCUCACAAUAACAAAACACAUCUGUAGCUCCGGGAAAACGGUCGCAACGAGAAGAUGGGUGCACCCCUGAGUAGUAGUCGUUGCAGAGUUGGACGCAUCGAAAUUCAGAUAGUGUCUUACCACAUACGCCCAAGAUGCUCACACACCGGUAUAUUGGAGGAGGACGCCCAUCAACCUUUACUUCUUGCAUUUUUG
rnacentral:lncRNA from 1 species